rnacentral:rRNA from 1 species
GAUGAGCGCUGGCGGCGUGCCUAAUACAUGCAAGUCGAGCGAACAGAUCAGGAGCUUGCUCCUUUGACGUUAGCGGCGGACGGGUGAGUAACACGUGGAUAACCUACCUAUAAGACUGGGAUAACUUCGGGAAACCGGAGCUAAUACCGGAUAACAUAUUGAACCGCAUGGUUCAAUAGUGAAAGGCGGCUUUGCUGUCACUUAUAGAUGGAUCCGCGCCGUAUUAGCUAGUUGGUAAGGUAACGGCUUACCAAGGCAACGAUACGUAGCCGACCUGAGAGGGUGAUCGGCCACACUGGAACUGAGACACGGUCCAGACUCCGACGGUAGGCAGCAGUAGGGAAUCUUCCGCAAGGGGCGAAAGCCUGACGGAGCAACGCCGCGUGAGUGAUGAAGGUCUUCGGAUCGUAAAACUCUGUUAUCAGGGAAGAACAAAUGUGUAAGUAACUGUGCACAUCUUGACGGUACCUGAUCAGAAAGCCACGGCUAACUACGUG